rnacentral:rRNA from 1 species
CCCUGCCAUUUGUACACACCGCCUGUCGCUACUACCGAUUGAAUGACUUAGUGAGCCUUUGGGAGGGGCGUUCAAGAGCCGGCAACGGCACCUGAAUGCCCCAAACUUAUGCAAACUUGGCCAUUUAG